AGGGUGUAAACGCUGCAGACUUGGUGUUGGGAACCCUUCGGGGGUGCUCAGUGCCGGAGAGAAGUUGUUAAGUCUGCUACUUGGGAGUACGUCCGCAAGGAUGAAACUUAAAGGAAUUGGCGGGGGAGCACCGCAACGGGAGGAGCGUGCGGUUUAAUUGGAUUCAACACCGUAAAACUCACCAGGGAAGACUGUUACAUGAAGGCCGAGAUGAAGACUCUGCUAGAUUUUCAGAGAGGUGGUGCAUGGCGUGUGACUGU
rnacentral:rRNA from 1 species